CAAGGCUUCGGCGGGAUCGGUGGAAUUUUGCGAUACAGGGUGGAUUUCCAGGGCAUGGACUAUCAAGUAGAAGACGAGGAGUUGUACAACUUGGAUGACUACUAGGUAGUCGUGACUGAUGACAGCAGAAGUUUCCCCCUUGACAACUCCACGGACAAACAGGAGGAAGGAAAAGACGGUGAAUCUGAGACCUAAACGCGGCGACCGAGCGCGUUUUGCUCCUCGGCACGUCAUUGACACGUCGCGCAACAACAGUACGACACGUGAGGAAGUCGUCCGGUCGAGCGCCGUUUCUCAAGCCUCCUUUUUUUUUUUUUUUUUUUUUUUUUUUUUACUGACUCCUGCUGCUGCUGCUUUAUGAGUCCGUGGCAUUUUUAAUAACGUACACGAAAAGCCGAGGGGAUUAACCGCGCGCCGCCGCCUCGAGCUCGUCGUCCUGAUUUCCGUUUCUGCUGCGUGCGAUCAAUCUCUGAGCCAGUUAAAAUCUCUGUGACGGACCGGCGCGUAGCCGGAUCGCCCGUCUCCGUGCCACUGAAGACGGACAUGUGUCUCGCUUUAGCCUUUAGGAACAUCCCAAACUGUUUGAGUGCCUGAAAAAUUUUUAAUGACUGCGCAGUUCACCCGGAUCUGAACUCGGGGGCUGUUUUAAUCUGUGAUUUGGAUUGAUGAGCUGUGAGUUUAUAUUCUCUUAACUGCAAGCUGGAUUAGUGACUUUAGAACACCAGAUCGCACUGGAAGCACUCAAAUUUGUGGAUUUUUCAUCUUCCACUUCUGCCUUUCUACAUCCGGUCUAUCGACGGGCAGAUUUGGUUUUAGAAAAAUAGGAAGUGCGACAUGAAACUGAUGUUAGGACCUUAUCACACUCUUUAUUCUGAUACACUAGACAGCAGGCAAAACCCAUUUAUAGAGUCUAAUGAGAAAACACACACACAAAGGAUGCUUUCUAUUUUAACACAUUAUAUCCUGUAUUUUCUCAUCUCCGUGCCUAAUCCAUCAAUAUUUUGUAUAAAUCAUUUGUUACACGAGGUCACAGAUAUUAAACGUUGUCAUCGUUUGCACAUUGUUUUCUUCUGUUUCUCGUCUGUUCAUUUCGUUCCUCAUUUUGCUCAGCUUACUUCUAAGAAC
ensembl:lncRNA